CGGGGCUUAAAGUCUUGUAAUUGGAAUGAUGGGAAUUUAAACCUCUUCCAGAGUAUCAAUUGGAGGGCAAGUCUGGUGCCAGCAGCCGCGGUAAUUCCAGCUCCAAUAGCGUAUAUUAAAAUUGUUGCAGUUAAAAAGCUCGUAGUUGAAUUUCUGCUGCAUUGCUUGUGUCCCUCUUGGGUCUUUGCAUGUGGCUUUUUUCGGACGGAGUUUCUUUGUCUGAAUGUUUACUUUGAGAAAAUUAGAGUGCUCAAAGCAGGCUUUCGCCUUGAAUAGUUUAGCAUGGAAUAAUAAAGUAGGACUUUGGUUCUAUUUUGUUGGUUUUAGGUACCAAAGUAAUGGUUAAUAGGAACAGUUGGGGGCAUUCGUAUUUAACUGUCAGAGGUGAAAUUCUUAGAUUUGUUAAAGACGAACUACUGCGAAAGCAUUUGCCAAGGAUGUUUUCAUUAAUCAAGAAC
rnacentral:rRNA from 1 species